rnacentral:lncRNA from 1 species
GGUAACUGGUUCCUGGUUGCAAGCUGCCUUAUGCAUUCGCUCCUGCUUCUUUCUGGAUAAUUUCCCCCCCUCCUUCUUCUUAGCCUUCUAUCUGGCCCAGCUCAACCCAACCCAACUCAGCUUCUGCUCCACCAGAUGACAAAGCACGUGAACAUAUUUCCUAUCAGUCCCUAUCCUGUGUCCAAAUGCAGCAGCAUCACAGACAUCAAGGAAGAAAACAACUGAAGAAGCCCAUCUGCACCUCCUGGCAGAAGAUUAAGUUCAAUUUCAAGAAUCCAUUGGAGAAGAAAUGCAUGUAGAAUUGAAAAAGAAGCAUUUUGUCAUUAAAAGAAGACAUCCCAGGGCGUGUUAGGGGAUACCAGCAGAGAGAGGCUGUUUUCCUGGGACCUCAGACCUCAUCCUCCCUGAAUUUCCAGCUCUGUCUGGCACGCUUGAAAAAAAAAAAAAAAAAGCAGCUAAUUCAAAUAGUUUAUUUCAGCCAGGAGGAUCCAAAUGGCACCAAGAAGCUGAGGAUGAACAGCAGAAGUGAAACCAAGAAAAAGUGUUCCAUGUUCUCACGUGAGAAGUAGCUCUGACAGACGUGUGGUCUCUUUUGAUCCAGGUUUGCACUGCUUAAGUUCCUCCAAGCAGCAAGAGCCACUCCCUGGUGGGAAGCCUCCUUGGCUAUGACCGAGAAGUGGGAAUUUAAAGGCAGCAUAACUCAAGACUCACAGAAACCAGCUGCUCCUCAACUUUCA